rnacentral:rRNA from 1 species
CACCGCGGUUAUACGAGCAGCCCAAGCUGAUAAUUUUCGGCGUAAAGAGUGGUUAAGGGCUCUAAUAAACUAAAGCCGAACGCCCUCAAGGCUGUCAUACGCACCCGAAGGUACGAAGCACCCCUACGAAAGUGGCUUUAAACCCCGCCUGACCCCACGAAAGCUACGCAA